AUGAGCUUCUCGCAAAGAGCUUGUGUGUUUCUACUGAUUUUGAGCAGUUCACAGUGUGUGGAUAUUACAGCCACAGGAACAGAGGGAGAACAAGUGCUCAUUACGUGUCCUUAUGCUAAAGGAUAUGAAAAAGCUUACAAAGGCUUUUACAAAGGAAAUUACAAAGAUUAUGAUGUUAUACUAAAAUCUAAUGGAGGAGAGACCUCAGUCAGUGGCAGAAUCUCUCUGCGGGACGAUGGCAAGAUGAGAUCAUUGACAGUGACCAUCAGAAACCUGAAGAUGGAAGAUGCUGGACCAUACAUCUGUCGAGCUGGAUAUGGAUACCUUAAACAAAUCCAUCUAAAUGUGAUCAGAGCUCCACAGAGACCAAGACCUGUCCAGAUCUUUACCUCCACCAUUCAUCCAGAUCAAACGAUCAGCUCACUUUCAAACACGCCGCCCCAUUUGAGCACAUCAGACUUGAACCCACAAUCCAGCACCAUCAGGAUCACAGAUCAUCACAUCUCCUCACCAGCUCAGAUCAGCUGCUGCCCUUCCUCUCUCAGUAACUUUCCUUUCAUAUUCUUUAUGUCUGUAUGA
ensembl:lncRNA